AGAGCGAACGCUGGCGGCAUGCUUAACACAUGCAAAUCGCACGGUCAGCAAUGGCAGUGGCGGACGGGUGAGUAACGCGUAGGUAUCUAUCCACGGGUGGGGGACAACGUCGGGAAACUGACGCUAAUACCGCAUGAUACCCGAGGGUCAAAGGCGCAAGUCGCCUGUGGAGGAGCCUGCGUACGAUUAGCUUGUUGGUGGGGUAAAGGCCUACCAAGGCGACGAUCGUUAGCUGGUCUGAGAGGAUGAUCAGCCACAUUGGGACUGAGACACGGCCCAAACUCCUACGGGAGGCAGCAGUGGGGAAUAUUGGACAAUGGGCGAAAGCCUGAUCCAGCAAUGCCGCGUGUGUGAAGAAGGUCUUCGGAUUGUAAAGCACGUUUCGGCGGGGACGAUGAUGACGGUACCCGCAGAAGAACGCCCCGGCUAACUUCGUGCCAGCAGCCGC
rnacentral:rRNA from 1 species